AUGCAGAUCAUUACAGAUGGGGCAGGGCGUCGACAGGAGAAGCAGGGCGCGAUGGUGGCCAUGAGCCAUGGCAUCCAACUUCCUCUUGUUCACUGUAAAGUUCAGAUACAAGAAUGCCCAAAAGUUAAUAGUGAGGGAUCGCGGCUGUUUGAUAUUCAUCUUAUCUACAGCCGCUGUUCUAAUCUCUCUCAUGUGUAUAUUGUUGAUGCUGCUCCAUCUCUCUUUCUGUUGGUGUUUGUUGCCCACAACAUGUUCGUGUUAAUGCUAGGAGGAGUGCUGCUAUUGAAUUUUGUUUGUUGA
rnacentral:rRNA from 1 species